rnacentral:lncRNA from 1 species
CCGGUCUCCCAUGUUUCGUCCAACUCCGUCCACAACUUUUUUGAGGUAUUCUCCUCACAGGUAAACAGACAGACAGGGGUGAAAACAUAUCCUCCUUCCACAUUGGGUGGGGAAGUUAAUAGUAAUUUGUCCUUUUACCCCGACCCACGCAUUUUGUGUUCCUCAGCUCCCAUAAAUAGAGCAGCUCUCAUUGGAGGACUUGUGGGAGGUAUUGGAGGAUUCCUGCUCUUGAUCCUGUUGGCAAUUGCAUUGUUCAUCUGCUACCGUCAUAAAAAGAAAGAGGACAAAUUGAAUAACAAAACAAAGAGCAAAACGGCUACAACAGAAAACACCAAUGCAAGUCCAAUCGAGAAUACAAAAUCGAGCUCUCCAGCAGCUGAAACAACAUCAACCAUUCCAAGCUAUCCUCCAAGCCUUCUACCACAGAUGCAGUCAAAAUACUUAAACUACCCAAUUGGACAAGAUUACUUGGAUGACAGCAACUGGGUAAGCGUACCAACAUUAAUGUCAUGCAUAUUUGUACCAACUGAUGUAAUACCAUCUCGAAGAAAUUAAAUUUUCAACCUCUCAUUCAUUUCUGCAGAGUGACAGUGAUCAUGAAACAUCCAUGAAUAAUGAUCCAGGAGGAGAUGUUAAAAUCCGGACGAUCACCAUGGUGUGAAGCUGAAUUCGAUUAAGGAAAAAUAAAUAAAGGGAAAAGUGACCAUCUCUCUUCUCCCCAUCCCAACUACACUUUUCUUUUAUACUUCCUUAUCGAAAAUCUGUCUAUCUUUCUCUCAUUAAAAAUGAGUUGUUGUUGAUCAAAAUUUAUUUUCUUUUCUUCGAUGUUAUUCUCUGAUAAUAUAAUUCAUGGAACAAUUCUGAGAUAUAACUUAUGACAGCAAGAGUAUGUAAAAAGAAAUGUUUUCAAACAAACUUUGAUUUUGUAUCAUCAUCGUGUACCUUGGUAUAAUUAUUUAUUGAGGGUGGACAGCAAGAGUAUGUAAAAAGAAAUGUUUUCAAACAAACUUUGAUUUUGUAUCAUCAUCGUGUACCUUGGUAUAAUUAUUUAUUGAAGUUGAAAAAUCAACAACAAAACUACAUUUUGAACAGCAUCACUUUAUUAUGUGUGGGCAUAUGUGUACAUUUUAUGAGGGUAAAAACUACAAUGUUAAAAACCUUCAGGGUCAGAUUAUAAAUAUGUGUUAAAUUUAUAACUUUGAAAGCAAACCGUAUGGAAAAACAGUUCAGGACAGAUCGAGUUAUUCAUUUGAGUUUAGAAUUACUUUUCAUCUCAUGGAUAUUUCACCUGCAUCAUAACUACAAUUUUUUCCCCAUGCAAAUACAUUCAUACUGUUCACAAAGUCUGUAGAAUGAAGAAAAUGUACACUUCACAUUAUAUUUGACAUGUUCAAGAAAAAAAAUCCUUUUUCCCCCCUCAUUGGUUCUUGCUGUCAAAAUGACACUUUUUUUUUUUUGUUAAACAAUUUGCACUUUGUUGAUUAACUCUUAAUCAGUGUACAUAAUGUGUUUUUAAAAAAAAUAUUAUUAUUCGCUUACUUAAAUUGACAUCACUUUCAAAUAAAUGCAACUUUGCCUUCAAAAUAUGUCACAUCUCAGUGAAACACAUUCUCUAUUUCCCACAUCAUUUUAAUGCUCUGACUCGUGUCACCAGUUGUUCUGGACAACAUACAAAUAAAGCCUCACUCUUUGGAAAGAGUGGUGUUUAGGCCUAUCAAUAAUGAAUCCAUCCAUCCAUCCAUCCAUUAACUACAUUGUAUCAUACAGGGUGGACCACAAAAAAAAAAAAAUGGAACCGAUCUUCCCUCCAAUAACUUACUCCCUUCCAAUGAUAUCCUCUUACUUUUUGCAGGUGUGCAAAGUGGAGUUCGUGUAUAGUCAGCAGAUUUGGAUUUAGUCAAGAUAGCCCCAAUUCUUCAACAUGCCAUGAACAACAAAAUAAACUAGCAUCUGUUGAAGACAAAGUCUUCGAUAUCCCCCGCCAUAGUAAAUGAGGACAAGUAGCAAAAGGCACCAGUUCAAUGGGGGGGGGGGGGGGGGGGGGGGGGGGGGGG